GAUUAAAGGAAUACCGAAUGGUUUUCCGUGCAUGAUUGUGUGAUCCAUGCACAAGGGAUGUCGCGAGACUUUCGAUUAGCGUAAAAAUACUCGAACCACAGGUGAGUGUAUUUUUUACAUCCCAAGUGCAUGGAUCACUCUAGCCUGCUUGCAAAACCAUUUGGUAAUUGUUUUAUA
rnacentral:miRNA from 1 species